GCCAGGUAUGGUGGCACGUGUCUGUAAUCCAAGCUGCUCAGGAGGUUGAGGCAGGAGGAUCACAAGUUUGAGAGAAGCCUCAGCAAUUCAGCAAGGCCCUAAGCAACUUGUGAGACCCUGACUCAA
rnacentral:sRNA from 1 species